GGCAGCGGCAGUGGCAGCGGCAACAACAGCAACAACAGCCACGAAUUGGAAUGUUGCGCACGACGUUAGACGACAACGCCAUAACACCGUGCACCCUGCAGUCUCGUGCGGCCGAGCAGCGAACAGCAGAGCAGAGCACCAACUGAGACAGCCAGCCAGCCAGUUAGCCCGUCUGUCAGUCGGUCAGUCAGUCAGUCAGCCUGUUUGUCAGCCGAGAGUAAGAAAUUCUUGUGAGCAACUGCCAAAGUUUAAAUGUUAAAUUGUUUAAAACAUUUGCCAAGUGCGUCGCGUGUUCGCCUCAGAAACUUGUGGCAAUCAAUCAAUUAAACCCAAGCCCCAGCAGCUGCCAAAAGUGGGCGGCGGCCGCAACCCAAAACUUUUACCAACCUGUCCAGACGGCGACGCCUCAUUGACAGUAACAGAAAUACAAAAACAAAAAAAAAAAAAAGAAAAAGAAAAACUACAUAUAUAAAACAAACAAAAAAUAGAAUAAAAAUCAAUAUCCGUCUAAAGUUUAUUUCGGCCUUAACUCAAAUGAAACUAGAAGUUGCACAGCUAAGCAACAACAACAACAACAGCAGCAGCAGCAGCAGCAACAACAACAAUCAGAACAACAACAGCAGCAUAAACACUAUAAACAACGAUUACCUAACUAAAUUGGACAGCGCCUGAGAGUGCAGUUUAUAAACAUAUAAGCAAAAAGAACAAAAAAACAAAAAACAUUCAAUUAAAGUUACUAAAAUAUUUACAAAGAAAACCAAUAAAAACUCACGUAUAAAUAACAAAUUAUUUGCACACAAAACUGUUAAAAAUACAACGUAUUACUAUUUUCCAAUAAACAUUCCUCAACUAUUUAGGUAAAUUUCCCAAACUAAAAUAAAUAAGUUACACAAAUUGGCCAAACAAAAUAAAUAUAUAUAUAUAAAUACAUAUAUAUAUUUAAAUAUUUACCAAAUUAUACGCAACUUUAUUAACGCUUGAUGCCAAUCUGCAGUCGCUUUCGCCAUAAAUAAACUAUAUUAAAUAAAAUAAAAAAUAUAUAUAAAUAGAAACAUUAACAAAUACGCCUAUUAAGUUUGUCUGAUAAAAAAAAAAAACAAAAAACAUAAAGAAAGUCCAUUUUGAGCAAAGUCAACUCAAACUCUAAACAUUUACACAAAAACGCCAAACAAAUUUUGAGAAAAGCUUUAUAACAAAUAUAAUAAAUUAUAAUAUAUGUUAAUAUAAUAUAUUUAAUGCAAAUGCUGAAAACUGAAACAAAAAAGUUGCUCCAUCCAUAGUGCAAAGUGAAGUUAAACAAAAAAUAUAUAUGCUUUCUUAAUCAAAUAAAAAAAAAAAAUUAAAAAAAUACAACUUAUAAAGAUCCAAAGCAAACGAAGGAAAGCUAAAAUAGAAAAAA